GACGAACGCUGGCGGCGUGCCUAACACAUGCAAGUCGAGCGAAGUUUUCAAAGUAGAUUUCUUCGGAUUGAAACUUUGAUUAUCUUAGCGGCGGACGGGUGAGUAACGCGUGAGAAACCUGCCUUUCACAAAGGGAUAGCCUCGGGAAACUGGGAUUAAUACCUUAUGAUACUGAUUUUUCGCAUGGAAGAUUAGUCAAAGCGCAAAGCGGUGAAAGAUGGUCUCGCGUCCCAUUAGUUAGUUGGUGAGGUAACGGCUCACCAAGACCGCGAUGGGUAGCCGGCCUGAGAGGGUGAACGGCCACACUGGAACUGAGACACGGUCCAGACUCCUACGGGAGGCAGCAGUGGGGAAUAUUGCACAAUGGAGGAAACUCUGAUGCAGCGACGCCGCGUGAACGAUGAAGGCUUUCGGGUCGUAAAGUUCUGUCCUAAGGGACGAUAAUGACGGUACCUUAGGAGGAAGCCCCGGCUAACUACGUG
rnacentral:rRNA from 1 species